rnacentral:rRNA from 1 species
GAUGAACGCUGGCGGCGUGCUUAACACAUGCAAGUCGAACGAUGAAGCCCAGCUUGCUGGGUGGAUUAGUGGCGAACGGGUGAGUAACACGUGAGUAACCUGCCCUUAACUCUGGGAUAAGCCUGGGAAACUGGGUCUAAUACCGGAUAGGAGCGUCCACCGCAUGGAGGGUGUUGGAAAGAUUUAUCGGUUUUGGAUGGACUCGCGGCCUAUCAGCUUGUUGGUGAGGUAAUGGCUCACCAAGGCGACGACGGGUAGCCGGCCUGAGAGGGUGACCGGCCACACUGGGACUGAGACACGGCCCAGACUCCUACGGGAGGCAGCAGUGGGGAAUAGUGCACAAUGGGCGCAAGCCUGGUGCAGCGACGCCGCGUGAGGGAUGACGGCCUUCGGGUUGUAAACCUCUUUCAGUAGGGAAGAAGCGAAAGUGGCGGUACCUGCAGAAGAAGCACCGGCUAACUACGUG